rnacentral:lncRNA from 1 species
GGGGUAUGGGGCAAUAACCUUUGUAUUUUUCCUCUUGCUGAACUCCUAGACCCUGAAUAUAAGACUACUGGCUGGCCCAUGGAGAGCAAACGUUUUCCUCUGCUGCGAUGCUGUCUUUGACAUUGCCCUGGUGCCUGCUUCCGACCCCCAGGAGAAAGUGCUGUAUAAAGAGGUGAGAGACCUGGGGUUUCCCUCUGUCUCUGUGUAACUGAACUCAUGUCUUCCCUCCCUAGCCUCAGUUGUCCUGUCGGUUUAGUGGGAGACUUUGGCUAGUUAUUUCUUUUUCUAUUAUUUUUUUUUGAGACAGCAUCUCACUCUCACCCAGGCUGGAGUGUAGUGAUGAGAUCUCGGCUCACUACAACCUCUGCCUCCUGGGCUCAGGUGAUCCUCCUGCCUCAGCCUCUUGAGUAGCUGGGACCACAGGUGUGUGCCACCACACCUAGCUAAUUUUUGUAUUUUUAGAGGAGAUGGGGUUUUUUUUUUUUUUUUUUUUUUUUUUUUUAGACUGAGUUUUGCUCUUGUUGCGCAGGCUGGAGUGUAGUGGUGUGAUCUCCGCUUACUGCAACCUUUGCCUCCCAGGUUCAAGCAAUUCUCCUGCCUCAGCCUCCAAAUAGCUGGGAUUACAGGCACCUACCACCAUGCCCAGCCAAUUUUUGUAUUUUUAGCAGAGACGGGGUUUCACCAUGUUGUCCAGGCUAGUCUCAAACUCCUGACCUCAGGUGAUCUGCCCGCCUUGGCCUCGGCCUCCCAGAGGCCCAGAUGAGAAGAUGGUCUGGGCACGGUGGCUCACGCCUGUAAUCCCAGCACUUUGGGAGCCGAGGCAGGUGGAUCACGAGGUCAGGAGUUAGCUGCCACACCCAGCCCUGGCUAGUUAUUUCUCAUGGUUCUUUUCAUCUCCAUAUCAUGUCUCACCCAUAUCUGAAAUCUGUGUCUAGACCACAGUAGGUGCUUAAUAAAUGUUUACUGCAUAAUUACAUCCUUCUCUGUCUUGCAUCUCUCUUGCUACUGGAACUGACCAAGAGGGAAAUUAGGCUCAGGGGAUUUUACAGGUGGGGCAGGGUAGCCGGGUAAUCCCUUAUCCCCUCACCCCUCCCGGGGACCAGGCAGGAGGGAGGGCCAUUGAUUGGGAAACAUCUCGGCUCCUGGCGGCAACUGGAGGGAUUCAGGACACCUGCUCGGAGCAGCCACCAGGGGGCAGCAGACACUGCAAAAAUGGAAGAGGGCUUUGAAACCGGAGUCCAGGGUCUCAGUCAGUCUACGCUGUGCUGGGUGUGAGGAUGGAACUCGGUCCCUGGCUGCAAGAAGCCCCCACAGCAGACGGAGGGACAGCCACACCAGCAGAGUCGUUUGUGACAGCGCAGAACUGCAACAGGGAGGUUCACCUAAUUAACACCCACUGGACUGCAAACUCGACAAGGCAAGGCCAGACUGCAUGUUUUUGCACUCCCUUCCACCCCUACCCUGCUGGAAUUCUUCUACCUACCAUGAAGUAUGACCCACAGUCCAACCCAACAAAGAUCUGCUGAUGGAAGAAACGGGGCAAUGCCUGUACAUGGGGCCUUCAGGUCCGGCUGGAACAAGGCGGCUUCCCUGUUUUACUCUGCUGUGGCCUGUUUGUUUAGGUGGCAGGGGCUUGGACAAUGGGCGUCCAUGCCGAGAUACAAUGGAGCUGUCAAUUAAGAUGCCCCGCCUUCCCCUGGCAGAGGGUCAGAUGCUCUGCCCUGGGAAUUUGAAUGAAUCCCUCAGCCGGCCCAGCUACUCACUGCUCUGGUCCCAUCUGACCCAGGUGGUCUCACCAUUCUCCCCCACCUUCUGCCUUCUAAUAAAUUCCUUUCGUGCCUG